UCGUCAUCAUCUUCCUCGUUAAUCUCGCGCUCUCCUGCAAAUUUUCAUGGAGGACCAUAUCCUUAUCUCCGACGGGGAAGAUCCGGCCACUCCACUCCCAUCACUCUCGAAACGGGCUCGAAAAGAUCCGAUCUCUGCGAUUCUGAUAUCCGAUUCCGAUCCGACGCCGUUUAAGCAACAGCCGGAAUCUUCUUCCACUCCUUUGUUCGUCCCUGAUACACCUCUCUCCGAUGAUUUCUCUCUCGUCAAGUGUUCCUUUGCCUCCGGAGCCUUAGCUUCAAACCGAGAAGAUAAAUUCUCUGGGAAACGAGUGAUAUCUCUGGAUUCAGAGUUUGAGGAUAGUCCUGGACCUGAAACCUCGAAGAAGCACGGACCCGUGCUUGCUGAUAUUGAGGAGCCGCGUUGUGGGUUGGAUUCUAGAUCAAGUGUUGCUGAGGCGAGUACUGGAAUAGCUCAGCCAAGUUUUGGUGAUAAUACUAAUUGGAUGCAUGAAGUCAGUGUUCGCUCUUCACUGACCAAUGAUACUAUCGAGGUUGAUUCUGAGCAAGAGAAAGAAAAUAUAAGCAUCGAGAAUAUGGGCCGAAAAAAGCAGAUCAGAAGUUGUAAGAGUAGAACUCUUACGGGUGGAGAAUUUCCCAAAAAGCAGCUGUCGAGAGAAGAAAAAAUCCGUGUAAUGGAGGAAAAGAAGUUAAGAAAAGAGGAAGAGAAGUUACAGAAAGCGAUUGAAGCUGAGCGUAAAAAGUUAGACAAGGAAAAACAGAAAUGGGAAAAGGGAAAGUUAGCUCUGAAAUCUAUCGUUGCUGAGAUUGAUACCAAACUAGUUGAAGGAUCCAUUGGAGGACUUCUACUUUCAAGGUUCUCUGAGAAAGGCAUUACAUUCCGUGUAGCACCUAAUCCUAUCGAGAGAUCCAUUGUCUGGACGAUGACAAUUCCAGAGGAUAUUGCUCUGGCUUUCCCAGAAGGGCCAACGAUCAGUUAUGUCGUACUAAUGUAUGAGGCUGAAGAAUUUUGUAACCUUGUUGCUAAUGAAAAAUUUCUAGAAAACAUCACAAGAGUUCAGGACCGAUACCCAUCUUAUACGGUGUGCUGUCUCACCAAUAAGUUAAUGUCUUAUGUAAAGAAAAGGGAAAAGGAAGAGUACAAGAACCCGGGAAGUUGGAUACGGCCUCCCAUCGAUGAGGUACAAAGUAUGUUGGAAAGUAGUUCCAAUUUCUUCCCGGAAAUCAUUGAGUUGAGUUGGAGAAUCCCACUGAGCCAAACAUUUCUUAUGAUUAAACGAGUUAAUGACAUCGAGAUCUCGCAUCAAAAGUUUAUGUUAAAUCUACAAAACUAUCUUAUAUGUGCCCAAUUGUGUAUCUUAUCUCCAUGGUUUUGAAGUGAAAUCAUUUGUUUGAUGCACAGGAAGAAACUAACUAUGUUAUCAGUAAACGCUAAUGGUGCAUUAGUCUCCAAGGAUUCAGUUGACAAACACUUGAUUAAAAAGAGUCCAUGGUUAAAAGCGUUAGUGGCAAUACCGAAGGUGCAGCCAAGAUAUGCGGUAGCAGUGUGGAAGAAAUAUCCAUCUAUGAAGUCUCUUCUUAAGGUUUAUAUGGACCCUAACAUAUCGAUUCAUGAGAAGGAGUUUCUACUUAAAGACUUGAAAGUAGAAGGUUUAGUAGGAGGAGAUAUAAGGUUAGGUGAGGUUUGUUCAAAGCGGAUAUAUAGAGUUCUUAUGUCUCCAAGUGGAACCAUUAAGACUGAUGAUGUUGAAAACGGUGCUGCUUUUUUCACACAUUAGGGUCGUAAGCAGUCAAGGUUUUGAUCAAAAACCCCAUUUCUAAUAUAAAUUAUAUGUUUGAUUC